rnacentral:rRNA from 1 species
UACGUAGGGUCCGAGCGUUGUCCGGAAUUAUUGGGCGUAAAGAGCUCGUAGGUGGUUUGUCGCGUUGUUCGUGAAAACCGGGGGCUUAACCCUCGGCGUGCGGGCGAUACGGGCAGACUUGAGUACUGCAGGGGAGACUGGAAUUCCUGGUGUAGCGGUGGAAUGCGCAGAUAUCAGGAGGAACACCGGUGGCGAAGGCGGGUCUCUGGGCCGAUACUGACGCUGAGGAGCGAAAGCAUGGGUAGCGAACAGG